UCCGGAAAUAAAUUUGUCAAAAAUGCCCUCGCCUGGAAAAACUCCUUUUACGAUGGCAAGGGAGCAACCUCGAAAGUAGAAGAACUUUGUCACCAACAUUAACACUCACAGAGCCAACUGCAACAACAGUGCCUUCUAGAACCUUGGAUUGACUUUUCUCUGGCAGCAAGACACCACCUUUCGUUUUCUUAAUUAAUUAUGAGACAAUAAAAAAUGAAAAUUCAUUUGGGAAAAAAUCCUUGUUUUAUUACAUCCAGGUGACAAUACAAAGAUUAAGAGUAGUAUUGGUGCAAGGUAGUCACCCCCUUAUAAAAUUCUUAGAUCCAUGCCCGCACUGAGUGCUUUAAGAACAAGAAACAAAUUAACUUACRACUUCUGGAAGGAAUUUUUCUACCAAGAUUCUGUCAAAAAGAGGCUUGAAUCUUCUUAUAGCACCAGCCUGAAACAGGAAAUAAAGAUUAUGAUGGCCAAGUGGCUUUUAAAUUAA